GCUCUUUAGUCCACCACGUCGCAAAUGGGACGCUGCUUCCUUUGGGCCUUUCCUGACCCUUCCAUUGUGGAUCAGUCUUCGUUUUAUGAGCUCCUUUAACGCUUUGUGUUGAUCCCUCAAUCUCAAUGGCAGCUAAAAGGAUGUAGCCUAGGGCACGUGCCCAGACUGUGCGGCUGCCCCGCUGCCCGGUGAGUGGCUCUACUGCGCUCCGCCCGAGGCGCCUUCUCAUGCACCCCCGGCGUUCUCAGGAAGCACUUCUGCCAGCAGUUUACAAAGCAUUUGACAGCAGGGGAUUGGCCUCCUGCACAGGAAGUUUGUCUUCUCCUGAGGAAGUGGAUGCCAUGUGUCACUUUGCAGAUGGAUCAAGUGCAGGAGGUGCCUGUUGGAGACGCAGAGCUCUGCAGCAGCAGGUGAGCUGAUGCUGCAACCUGCUAAACGCCGCUCCUGCGGAGCGCCAGGGCCCAGAGUGCACAUGGCUCUCAGGCUCCGUGAAAAGCUUGCAGUGAGCUCAGCCACUGAAAAGUCACUACGAAGAUGGAAAGCAAAAUGAAAACCGAGUCCUCGACACCGCUUCCUGGAGCUGUUCUGUGCAGAAGUUGAGUGAAGAUACUGCAGCGAGCCCUGGGUCUGAACGCCUGUGUGCUGACUCUAGACCUGCUCCUCAGCCCCAGUUUUCUCUGAAAAACCAGGAUUCUAGCACAACUCGUACCCCCAUUCUUUUCAGUCCUGCACCCACCAGCGAGCCGCAAGGCCCAGGAGCUACUGGCCCUGUUUUCCUGUCUCCAGUACUGGCCUUUGAUUUAUGAGAUGUCCCCUGUCUCCCCUGCUUCUGACCUCCCAGGAUGGCAUUUGGUGAUUUCUUGAUGUUCUCUUGCUUUGGCAUUAAAAUAUGGAUGGGAGUGUCAUUUCCAGAUCUUUUCCAGACCUGUGCAAUUCUUUCCAUUCUUCAUAACAGCCCAUGACCCACCUUCCUCUGUUUCAGCCACAAAGCUAGCCAUGCCUGUGUGCGCACUGCUGUUUCUCAUUGUUAAUAUUUUAACUGUUAUUAAAAAAAAAACUUUCUUUUAAACUGUGUGUGUAUGGUUUUAAAAAUUGACGCACUUCCAGAGCUCUCAACUUCUGCAGUCUUUCUGAGGUCCGUGUUCCUCUUCUUCAGCUGGGAAGCAAAUGCUUGACUU
rnacentral:lncRNA from 1 species